rnacentral:rRNA from 1 species
CCUCACACCAACGAACCCCGGCGCGGAUUGCGCCAAGGACCAUGAACAAUAGCGCGCCGCCCGCCACUCGGUCAUCCGGUGUGCGAGCGGCGACGUGUCGUUUCGAUACUAAAUGAACGACUCUCGGCAACGGAUAUCUCGGCUCUCGCAUCGAUGAAGAACGUAGCGAAAUGCGAUACUUGGUGUGAAUUGCAGAAUCCCGUGAACCAUCGAGUCUUUGAACGCAAGUUGCGCCCGAAGCCUUCGGGCCGAGGGCACGUCUGCAUGGGCGUCACGCACAGCGUCGCACCCACCCCACUCGUGGGGCGUGGGGCGGAUUCUGGCCCCCCGUGUGCUCCCGCGCGCGGUCGGCCUAAAAUCAGACCCCGUGGCCGCGAAAUGCCGCGACGAUUGGUGGUACUUAGCGGCCUCGUGCCGUCGAGCAUCGCGUCGCGUCUUACGUAGCCCUCGGGAGUCAAAGGACCCUCGGGAGCCCCCUGCUAGUGCGGAGGGGCCUCUCAACCGUGCGACCCCAUGUCAGGCGGAUACCCGCUGAGUUUAAGCAUAUC